GACAGAGGGUGCAAACGUUGUUCGGAAUUACUGGGCGUAAAGCGCGUGUAGGCUGCUCAGAAAGUCGGAUGUGAAAGCCCUGGGCUUAACCUAGGAAGUGCAUUCGAAACUUCUGAGCUUGAGUUCUGGAUGAGGAAGGGCGGAAGUUCGUCGGUGUAGAGGUGAAAUUCGUAGAUAUCGAGAGGAACACCGGUGGCGAAGGCGGCCUUCUGGACAGUGACUGACGCUGAGACGCGAAAGCGUGGGGAGCAAACAGG
rnacentral:rRNA from 1 species